GAGCCCCUACAUCUCUCCUCAUCUGUCGUGAAACAGAACCUUGAUGAGAUGAAUCUUCCAUCCGCCUGAAUCACGACCUGACGAUCGCAACCAGAUUUGAACCCAACCCGAUGCUGUCUGACCGCACCCGAUCACCAUUCACCCACACUUCACGAAGCCCAGACCCUAAUCAGUCCCGCACCGCCAGAUCGACCCACCUACAUCGUCGCCGUCCCCGCAUCGUACCAGACCCGGAUCCCAUCUGCUCGCCUGCCGCACCACCAUCAAUCCAUCUGACCUUGGUCCUUCAUCCUCCUCAGCCGCUUGCAGCUGCCUCGGUCCUCCUCCUCUAAGAUUAUCAAAGCAAUGGCUGAAGGUGAGGAUGAAUCCUUGGAGAUUUGAGCUCCCCUGCUUUCAAAGAGAUUGGAUUGCUUUGGGGUGUGGGAGAUGAGCUGCAGCAACUUGAGCUGAUUGUUGCCCAACUCUAAUUUGUGCUCCUUGACUUAAAGCAAAAGCAAACCAGUUAUGAAGUGAUCAAAGUGUGGCUCCAAUGUGUAGGCGAUUUAGUUUUUGAAGUUGAUGAUGUGCUAGAUGAAUUCCGUACUGAAGCUCAGUGGAGACCUUCAUGGCUGAAAGGAAUACAGUGAUUAAAGAAAGUACGUAUUUUCUUCCCUAGUUCGAACCAAUUUGUUUUUCGGAUGAAGAUUGCUCAUAAGAUCAUAGAUGUUAGAAAGAAAUUUAAUGUUUUUGCAUUACUUAGACGUUUUUAGUUAGAAGAGUUGCUUACUUAAGAUCUUACAGUUUCAAAUUAGUGAGAGAGUGAGUUAUUUGUUUGUGCAUGCGGAUAAUGUAGUUGAGAGAGAGAUAAAAGGGCAAUGAUUCAACUCUUGUUGAAUCUUAUAUGUCAAGGUAUUAUAUUCUUCGUUUUGAUUGUUGGGAUAGGAGGAUUGGGCAAAAUCGUAAUUGCCCAACUUGUUUUCCAUGACGAAGAGGUGGUUAAAAGUAAUUUUUAGCUGAAAAUGUGGGUGUGUGUGUUUAACACACAUUGACUUAAUACACUUGCCAAAAAGAUUAUUUAAUCUGUCACCAAGGAAAAAUCCAAAAACCUUGAGAUAAUCAAAUGCCAAAAAAGAAUCAUGAAGAAGAUAGAUUUGAAAAGGUUCCUUCUUGUGUUAGAUGAUGUAUGGAAUGAGAAUCUUUAGAAGUGACUUAGCUUUGCUGAUAGGUGUUGCAAAAGUUAGUAGAAUACUAAUAAUUACUCAUAGUGAAAUGGUUGGUACGGGAUUAGACACAUCCAAGCUGUACAUUUUAAAGGGUUUGGAUAAAUAAAAUCUUGUUUGUUAUUUAAGAGAAUUGACUUUUUAAGACACGAAAAAGCCAAGGAAUGCAACAAUUAAGACAGUAAGGGAGGAGUCUGUCAGUAAUUAUCAAGGAGUUUCGCUUGUCAUGAAGGACGAUAUGUCAGAUGAUGUAUGCUGGAACGUGGAAACUAAGUGGCUGAGUUUUAAGGGUAAAAUGCUUUCAAGAAUAAGUAAAAAAUAAAUUGAUAUUUUGCCCACUCUCAGUUACAAUGGUCUUCCAGCAAAUUUCAAGCAUUGUUUGCUUAUUAUAACUUAUUCCUACCUGAUUAUGAGAUGUCUGUACAUGAGUUAAUAAAACUUGGGAUGACGCUUCAUUAAGUCUUCAAAUGAAAAUAAUAAUUUGAAAGAUAUUAAUUAUAGAUAUUUUAUGGAAUUACCUUGGAGAUCUUUUUUAUGUAAUUAUUUUACAGAGUAAACUUGCAGGAAAAGUGAUCUCCAAUGUAAUUACAUAAAAUAUCUUUAACCAAUAUCUUCCAAAUUGUCAUUUUCUUCUAAAGACUUAAUGAACCCUUGUGCCAUCCAAAGUUUAAUUAAUUUUUGCACAUAAAUCUAAUAAUCGGGUGGGAAAUAAGCUACAAUAAGCAAAACAAUGCUUCAAAUGCGUUGGGAGAACAUCGUAACUCAACUUAGGUGUGAGAAAAAUAUCAGUUUCCUCGACUUAAAGUCUUUUAUUCUUAACAUCAGCCACUCCGUUUCCAAUUGUUCAACAUAUAUUAUCCGAGCUAUCGUUCUUAUAGCAAGCGGAACUCCUAAACAAUUGCUUGCAAUCUCCUUCCUAUUGUCUUAGUUGUUGCAUUCCCCGACUCUUUUCCAUCUUCAAAAGUCAUCCUCUUAAAAAAUGAGCAAUUUAUCUAGACCCUUUAAAACUACGUCUUUGAUGUGUCUAAUCUCAUGCCAAUAGUUUCACAGCGAGUAGUUAUUAGUAUUCUACUAACUUUUGCACCACGUAUCAGUAACUUUUUCAAGCUAAGCAACUUCUAAUGAUUCUCAUUCCACACAUCAUCUAACACAAAAAAGAAUCUUUUCCCAUCUAUUUUCUCCCUGAUGAUUUUUUGCAUUUGAUCUUUUUCAAGGUUUUUGGGUUUAUAUAGUGGCAGAAAUAUAAUAUUUUUGUCAAGUGUCUGCAAGUCAAUUUGUUUGACACACACCCACAUUUUCAUUGAAAAUUAUUUUGAACCAUCUCCUCAUCAUGAAAAAUGAGUUGGGCAAGUUCGGUUUUGCCCAAUCCUCCCAUCCCAAUUAUCGGAACGAUGGAUACAUUUUCUUGAUAUAUGGGAUCCAACAAGAGUUGAACAGUUGCCCUUUUAUAUCUAUUUUUCUCAACUAUAUUAUCCGCAUGCACAAACGAAUGGCUAGCCAUCUCUCAAAUUUGAAACCGUAAAUCUUCAAUUAAGAGUUCUUCCAAUUGAAAACUCCUACUUAAAUGUGAUAACAUUAAGUUUCUUCGUAAUAUCUUUGAACUGGUGGGCAAUUUUUAUUUGGAAAGCUAGUUGAUUCGAUUUAGAGAAUAAGAUCCGUGCUUUAUUUGGCACUGGAUUUCUUUCCAGUGAUGAACGUUUCUCUCCUGAGCCUUAGUGUGAAACUCAUCCUGCAAAUCAUCAACUUCAAAAUACUAAGUUGUCUUUUGGAACCACAUUUUGAUCUCUGCAUUACUGGCAUGGUGGACAUUUAUGAAGACGAUCCAGGCGUGUACAAAGGCAUGACGCAUCGCUCACAAAAAGAUGUUCAUCUCUUGCAUGAUCAGUUGAAGAUUAAUUAAGACAUGUCAUACCAUACGUACAUACAAUAAACAUGUGGUUUUGAAGUAUACCGGAUUAGGUUGGUAACGACCGGAGCCGUUACAAUAACACAACCGGCUAACAUGACCCGAACUCACAAGAAAAUUGCAGUUGUGUUGAAGUAUACCGGGUUAGGUUGGUAACGAGUGGAGCCGUUAAUCACCCGUUACAAUGUAUAACGGUUGGUUUUGGUCAAAUUGCAAAUCACUAAUUACUCGAGUAAGGAAAUUUAGUAAUUUCUUAGAUAGUUUAACAAGAACUAGUCCAUAUUUUUCUUAUGUUGUAUAUAUUUCUACAGUAUUUGGCUCUUUAGCAUACUAGUUAUUUGGAUUUGAA